UAUGAGUCGAUUUCUCUUAUGGCU
rnacentral:miRNA from 1 species